CUUGAUAAACUUAUAAGAGGUCCAGCCUGCCCAGUGACUCUGUUCAACGGCCGCGGUAUCCUAACCGUGCGAAGGUAGCGUAAUCACUUGUUCUUUAAAUGAGGACUAGUAUGAAUGGCACCACGAAGGUUAUACUGUCUCCUUUUUCUAAUCAGUGAAACUAAUCUUCCCGUGAAGAAGCGGGAAUAAAAAUAUAAGACGAGAAGACCCUAUGGAGCUUUAAACAAAUAUACACCUGCCUUCCAAUCAAAAAAUUUCAGUAGACGAAUAAUUACCCAGGCAUUUUGAUAUAGCGUUUUAGGUUGGGGUGACCGCGGAGCAAAAAACAACCUCCGCAACGAACGGGAAAUCUUUCCCUAAACCAAGGGCCACGACCCCAAGUAUCGAUAAAUCGACACUAAUUGACCCAAUAAACUUGAUCAAUGAAC
rnacentral:rRNA from 1 species